GACUCAUUUCGUGAACGAAGAGCUGAUCCUUCCCUGGUCGCUUUACAUACCAUGUGCUGCCUGGCCGCAAUCGGCAUAGUGUUCACUCUCGCCUUCUUCACAUUUAACAUCAUGUACAGGAACAACAAGAUUGUCAAACUGUCGUCGCCAAACAUCAACAACGUGCUUCUAUUAGGCUGCUUCAUGUGUUACUCAACUGUAUUCAUCAAGACCACGGAAAUUGAUAACUCCGCUGUAUGUGAGGCACGGGUUUUCUGUUUCUGUCUGGGUUUUACAUUAACGUUCGGUUCCUUGUUUCCAAAACAUGGAGAGUGUACCGGAUCUUCACAAACAAGAAACUUCUGAGAAUGACAAUUAAAGACUACCAAUUGCUGCUUAUCAUUGGUUUAGUUGUGGCUGUGGUAUUGUUCGUUUUGGCUGUCUGGGCAAUCUAUACGCCUCACCAAAUCGUUAUUGAAAAAGUGGAAGAUAAGGUGCAUGACAUGAGCAACGACGAGGUGGUACAUCGCUACGUGCGCGUCUGUUUCUCGCCCAAAUCCAAAUAUUUCAACUGGACUUUGUACAUAAUUGAGGGAGUUCUUCUUGCCUUUGGGGCAUUUCUUGCCUGGGAAACAAGAC